rnacentral:tRNA from 1 species
CAUUGAGUGGCUGAAAUUUUUAAGCGUUGGUCUCUUAAACCAAAUAAUAGUAAUAUAAAACAUACUCUUAAUGG